UGAGUUCACAAGCGGAACAGCGCCAACUCCUCUGCUGCGCACAGUCUGGACACAACUCCCGCCACCUUUAAAAAACUGCAAGGUUUUAUUUUCUGCGCUCUGCUUUUUACAGUGUUCUUGUCCUCUUAGUCCCCGGCGGCGCGCUCUUCGGCUCGCCGGCUUUUUGCGCACGGACGCGUGUCCAAAUUCCGCCACUGGUCACCGCUGCGCUGCGCUGCGCUCCUUUCACUCAGCUUAGCUACUCCCGAGCAUUAGUUGCAUCUCAAAAAUAUUUAUCUCUCUUUUAUUUUGUUUCUUUUUUGUCGCUGGACUAAAGAGCUGUGAUAUUUUUUCUCAUGGGUAUUUAGUGUCGUGACACGCUUUCAGGAGUCGGCGCCUCCACAGAGAAAUGGAACUCUCUGCAUUUAUGGUUACAUGAAUGUCAGCGCUGAAGGCCAGAUGCCGGUGAUGGAAGAGCUUGUCAGUGAGAGUGACAGCAUGCCAAAGCGGAUGGCUCUCAUCUGCUUCCUGUCUCUGGUCAUGCUCAUGAGUGUCUUGGGAAACCUGCUGGUCAUGGUGGCCGUCUGCAAGGACAGACAACUCAGG